UACGUAGGGUGCGAGCGUUGUCCGGAAUUAUUGGGCGUAAAGAGCUCGUAGGCGGCUUGUCGCGUCGACUGUGAAAACCCGCGGCUCAACUGCGGGCUUGCAGUUCGAUACGGGGCAGGCUAGAGUUCGGUAGGGGGAGACUGGAAUUCCUGGUGUAGCGGUGAAAUGCGCAGAUAUCAGGAGGAACACCGGGUGGCGAAGGCGGGGUCUCUGGGCCGAUACUGACGCUGAGGAGCGAAAGCGUGGGGGAGCGAACAGG
rnacentral:rRNA from 1 species